CUUCUGUUUCGGGUUCGAUUUCUUUUGACUAUCCGUAGACGGCUUAAGUGGACUCGUGGUGAUUAUUCUUUGGGCCUAGAAAGUCUUUGAAAUCACGUUACGAUUAUAAAAAAAAAAUAAAAAUAAUAAUUGUCUAACAAAUUAUCUUUAAAUAUAGAUUUAUUGCAACCUACUCAAUGGGAUUUUUAGCAAUGAGGUUACUCUAUACGUCUAAAGUUUCUUAUGCAUGGCUUGAUCUAGAAAUUUUUACUCUCUAGAACACAUUCUCAGUUUCUAAUUACAUACAAAGACACUUAUCACAUGUCACACACUUUCUCUAUGGGUAAUGUUUUCCAUACCCUCAACUAAAGAAUAACUACAUAUUUCUAACUAAACAAACCAAAACCACUUUCCAUGCAACCAAACAAAAAUUAAAUAAACAAUUAAAAAAAGAAACAUUUAUUCUCUCUUCAGGACCACUUUCGAUUUACAGAUUCACUUUCCCCAAUUCAAUAACCCUAAUUUUUGAAAUCCUUUCUUUCUUCUUCCUUAAUAUCGCAUACCACAUGGAUUCUUAAUAUUCGCCGCUUGAUUCUGCAUUUAGCACUCCAUCUUUACUUGUUUUGUUCUAAUUCCUCGAUUUUCGUCUUUCAGUUAGUUAUUUCGCUCAUCUGUCUCGAAUCAUGACGAAAUCAAAGUCAAAGAAGAAAGGGAAGCUUCCUUCGCAUCCAGCCGCACAACAAAACGAAAUCAGAGGAACCCUUCAACAUGAUCCCCGUCUCCCCCACGAGAUUAUUUGCAACUGACAGGUACCCCAACAAGCAUCUGGACAAGCGUCCACACUUCGUCUGUCCACAACACUUUUGUUUAUAUCCACAUAUAUAUAUAUCUUCAUUUUGUGUAAGCCUCUUUCAUCUAAGUUCUUUGUAACAUCUUUAGUUCCUGGAUACCAUUUUAAUUGUUGUAUCGUCUUCCUUUAAUUCUAACUAGUUUUGUGUACAUAUAUGUACAUUCCCUUCUGUCCACACAUACGUGUCUCUAUUUACCGUCCACACGUUUUCCGCCCAUGUCUACAUUUUUUGUAUAAAUUUUAAAUAUAAAAAUAUAUAUGUGAAAAUAGAUGUUAAAACGUAGAGAAAAAAAAUUGUAAUUUAUUGUAAAAAUUAUUUUUAUAAAUAAACUACCAGAAUAACUACUAUAAAAAAACCAAGUUCUAACUAAAAAAUCACUAACUAAACUAGACUUAACGAAAUACACAAUCACCACGUGAGACUCAUUUUACUAGGCAGAGGGCAUUAGAUAGAAACAAAAUCAAACUUAUUUUGGUCUCCACUAACUAGACACAAAACGUUAAAACUUUUUUCCUUGUUUUAGUUAAGCCAAUGAAUGGUAUAUAUGUCCAGCAGUUACCAGCUGUAAGGAGAAAGUGCAUCUCCAGCACAAAGUGUCCUAGACAAAAAUAUGUCCCAUUGGGUAAUGCACUCCUUGAUCUAUCACUUUGUGUAUGUAUUAUUCAAAAUUCGAAUUAUGGUGUUUCGUUGGUAUUACAGAUUAUAAUCCAUUUCUAGGAGCAAGGUCUUUUAAAAAAAAAAAAAGGAGCAAGGUCUUAGCGCUGAGCUUUACUUCAAGAAUAAAGAAAUGGGAGAAACUUUCAGUAUUAUUCCUACUAGUGCUAUUACGUAUGAAUUUCUGUUUAUUAUUAUUAUUAUUUUUUUUUUUUGAAAAAGGGCUAUCUGUUUAUUAUUUUCAAUUUCCAGACAACAGACAUCCAUCCUAAACAGUUGGUUAACUUUGGUUCUUGGUACCAAAGAGGAGAAAAAGAAGGAAUCAGCCGAUGAAGCCGUCUUUUCCAUGUGUCCUGUUAUUUUACUUGUUUUCAUAAUUAUGUUUUUAUGAUAUUUGUUUUUAUUUAUUUUUCAUAUGUUUUAUCAUUUAACGUAGAUAUUACUUUAUUCUGUAGUUCAAGAGUAAUUAAUUUUUCAGAAUUUGCAAAAUUUUGUCAUUUCUAUUUUUAAAGUAUUUUUUUUUGCUAUAACAUUAGCAACUAGGUACGAUGAUUAAAUAAAAAUCAGUGGAACCAUACUUCGAGUGGUUUAUUGAAUAAAAUGUAGAGUAUAAGAUUUAAACUUUUAAUGUUUAAAAAACAUCUUAAACUUUUUAUUUUCAAAAAAAAACAAAAAAAAAUUAUCUUAAACUUUUACUUGUUUAGAAUCUUUAGGCAUAAGCAUGUGCUCGGAAUUUUUAGCUUGUUCAGAAAAUCUUAACUAUUUUGAAUUGCCACUCUAACUCAGUAAGUGGUCAGCACGACAAUAUACAAUGAACAAUUCAAAAACUGUCAGCACGAAAGGUCCCACAAAUAUAUAGGUACUUGGUUCGAGAUCUUAAACUAAAAUUUAGUUGGAUGACAAAAAAAACUAAAAUUUAGUUAAUCCAAACAUUUAAGUGAAUAUAAAUUAGAAUAAAGUGAGUAUAUGAAUUGAUUGAACAUUACAAGAAUAAUAUACAGAAUGAAAUUGUUUUAUUUAAUUAGAUCCCGUAUGCCUUCUACUCUACAUAUAACUGAAUAUAAUAUUUAGCCAAUAUACAUAUUUUAGAGCAAUUUUAUUGGUAGUCUCAAACAAAGUUUCUAAACAUUAAAAAAUAAAAAAAAAGUAGAGAGAGAAUGAAAAAAUUGUAGAAAGAAAAGGAAUGAAUUUGUCGAGGGAUUUACUGCAGUGAAAAGCUAUAUUGACACUAGUGGUGGACACUGGCUUCCAACGAGCUAUUACUUUGAUUUUAACAUCGUUUGAUUAACUAUGCUUCUGAAUGAUAACGGACCGCACCGCACCGUCGUUAGCAGUAAAAAAAAUCUCUACAUAUAAAUUUAUAUGUUUUUGUUACUAUUCAAAGCGCAUUGCAACUAUUCCAUUCAGAGCCAUAUGAAUUAACGUGUCCAAAUCCUCGUCAUGAUCUUGAUCUUGUUGAGGGAUCAUUUGCAUCAAGUUAGAGUGAGAAACUAUAUUGACACUAGUGGUGGACAGGUACGUUGACAGUAUAUUUGGAUCCAUUCUCCACCUACCAUUCUCCAUAGUCUUUUUUUAAUUCCUCACAUUUUUUUCACUAAUUUCCAUUUUAAUUAUUUUUUUUAUAAAACCAAUUCCACCUAAUUUUUUUUUUUAUUAAUUAU